GGUGGUGUAGCUCAGUGCUUGAGCAUGUGCUUCACAUGUACAAGGUUCUGGGUUCAAUCCCCAGUAUCUCCU
rnacentral:tRNA from 1 species